CCCUUAGAUGUUCUGGGCCGCACGCGCGCUACACUGACGCAUUCAACGAGUCUCCUUGGCCGAGAGGCCUGGGCAAUCUUAUGAACCUGCGUCGUGAUAGGGAUAGAUUAUUGUAAUUAUUAAUCUUGAACGAGGAAUUCCUAGUAAACGCAGAUCAUCAAUCUGCAUUGAUUACGUCCCUGCCCUUUGUACACACCGCCCGUCGCACCUACCGAUUGGAUGGUCCGGUGAGGCCUCGGGAUUGUGGCCGGUGCAUUUAUUUGUGUCGGUUGCGAGAACUUGUCCAAACCUUAUCAUCUAGAGGAAGGUGAAGUCGUAACA
rnacentral:rRNA from 1 species